rnacentral:rRNA from 1 species
AGAGUUUGAUCAUGGCUCAGGAUGAACGCUGGCGGUCUGCUUAACACAUGCAAGUCGAACGAAGUUUUUCGGAACUUAGUGGCGGACGGGUGAGUAACGCGUGAGAAUCUGCCUUAAGGAUUGGGACAACAGUGGGAAACCGCUGCUAAUACCAAAUAUGCCUUUUAGUGAAACGGGUAAAACCGCCUUAAGAUGAGCUCGCGUCUGAUUAGCUAGUUGGUGUGGUAAGAGCGCACCAAGGCAACGAUCAGUAGCUGGUCUGAGAGGACGACCAGCCACACUGGGACUGAGACACGGCCCAGACUCCUACGGGAGGCAGCAGUGAGGAAUUUUCCGCAAUGGGCGAAAGCCUGACGGAGCAAUACCGCGUGAGGGAGGAAGGUUCUUGGAUUGUAAACCUCUUUUCUCAGAGAAGAAUAAUGACGGUAUCUGAGGAAUAAGCAUCGGCUAACUCCGUGCCAGCAGCCGCGGUAAUACGGAGGAUGCAAGCGUUAUCCGGAAUGAUUGGGCGUAAAGGGUCUGUAGGUGGUUGUUCAAGUCUGCUGUUAAAGCGUCUGGCUUAACCAGAUAAAGGCGGUGGAAACUGAACGACUAGAGUGCGGUAGGGGUAGAGGGAAUUCCCAGUGUAGCGGUGAAAUGCGUAGAUCUUGGGAAGAACACCUGUGGCGAAAGCGCUCUACUGGACCGCGACUGACACUGAUGGACGAAAGCUAGGGGAGCGAAUGGGAUUAGAUACCCCCGUAGUCC